AUAUGUUCGGUUGAGCUUUACUCCUCUAAGUCCACCAAGAAUCUAUUUUCUUCCUAUUGUGAGGAUCAGAGAAUUCCACCAGCCAUUGGAGUGUCUACGGUUUCAUCAAUGUGAGCACAAGUUAAUUUGAGUUAUUUUCAAAGCUUUCUUGUCGGAGUUCUUUUCUGACUUUACAAUCUCUUAUUUGAUUUGCUAGUUACUGACAUAAAUGGUAAAGCUGGAAGAGAAAAUUGCAACCAAGUGGUUUUAGGGUGUUUGCUCCAUAAGACAACAAGCCGAACAUCAGUACCAUAAUGACUUCCAUGGGAAAAAAACGAGACUACCGCAAAAUAAAAAAAUCUGGUCG
rnacentral:lncRNA from 1 species